rnacentral:lncRNA from 1 species
AAAUCCUCUCGGGAUUUAGUGUCAGAGCGGAAGGUGACGAGGAUGAAGGUCGCAACCGGAAUUUUGUCUCUCUUUCUUGUGUUGUCAUCGGUGAUCCUGAUGGUCAGUUCCUUGCCUGCCACCAUGGAAGGCCUAACAGACAGAGCAGCGUGUCCCUGUGCUGUGCCCCCGUGUCCAUGCGCCUCGGGAGGGUACGAAUAGAAAAAAAAAAAAAAAAAAAAAAAAAAACAAGGCAUACAAGAAGCUUCAUAAAACAAACAAACAAACAAACAAACACUCACGAGCAAGAGGUCUUACAUAUUCACCAGAAGGAUUUAGGGGAAGAAUUCACGACGAGACAUGCAAAUUACACGCGUGAAGGAGUCGUCACCAAGAGUCAUAAGGACGAUUUAAUAAUUUGGUUCUCGAUGGUACGUUUAAGAUAUUGCCAAUAUGUACCGGACUUGAUCAGUAAAUACCCUUUAUA